GACAGAGGGGGCUAGCGUUGUUCGGAAUCAUUGGGUGUAAAGGGUGCGUAGGCGGUCUUUUUUGUAAGGUGUGAAAGCCCCGGGCUUAACCUGGGAAUGGCACUUUAAACGGGAAGACUAGAGUAUGGAAGAGGAAAGCGGAAUUCCUAGUGUAGAGGUGAAAUUCGUAGAUAUUAGGAAGAACACCAGAGGCGAAGGCGGCUUUCUGGUCCAUAACUGACGCUGAGGCACGAAAGCGUGGGGAGCAAACAGG
rnacentral:misc_RNA from 1 species